rnacentral:lncRNA from 1 species
GAGGUGUGUGACGGCAGAGGCGCAGGCGAGGCUCAUAUUUGGGCACGGAGCAGGUUAUUGGAGGCCGCGGCCCCGCAGCCGGGAGAUGAGGCGCCUGAUAAAGGCUGCCCCGCUGCUGUUGUUGCUGCUGCUGCGUGCAUUGGCUCGGGCGCUGGCGAGAGGUGGCCUGGCUGCGCUGGCUGGGGGCCGGUGGCCAUGGGGCCGCUGGUGGGUCUGGGGCUGCUCGUGUGCGUGCGGCUGUGCGGGGGUGAGUGCCGGGCGGGCGGGAGCGGAGCCCGCGGCGGCGGCGGGCCCGGCUCAGCAGCGUCCGUGCCGCAGGCUCCGGGGAGCUGCGUCUGGUGGGCGGCGGCGGGCGCUGUGCCGGCCGCGUGGAGGUGAAGCACGGCGGUGAGUGGGGCUCCGUGUGCGUCUUGGGGCGGAACCGGGAAGCUCGGUGGGCCGUGGUGGUGUGCCGGCAGCUGGGCUGUGGCCGGGUGGCCAGGGCGUCCCUGCACGCCCCGUUCGGGCAGGGCAGCGGGCGGAUCUGGCUGCAGCCCUUCUGCAACGGCACCGAGGAUGAGCUGGAUCACUGUUCACACUUCGGAUGGGGCUGGCAUUUCUGCGGCCACAAGCGGGAUGUGGGGGUGACCUGCACAGAUGCCGUGGAGCUGAGGCUGUCGGGCGGCGGCAAUCCCUGUGCCGGGAGGGUGGAGGUGAAGCUGCAGGGACACUGGGGCUCGGUGGCAGACGACAACUGGGACAUGGAGGACGCCGAGGUAGUUUGUCAGCAGCUGGGCUGUGGCUCGGCUUCCUGCGUGCGUAUUUCGCCGUCGAGCGCUUCGAUGUAGGGGACGGGCUCGUCAGCCUGGCCCUGGUGGACUGCAGUGGGAACGAGGCCACGCUCUGGGACUGCGAGAUCCGUGGCUGGGGACCCUAUAACAGCAGCAUCCAUGGUUUGGAUACUGCCGUUGUUUGCCAAGGUAGGGGCUGGGCUUGAGGGCGUUAAGUCUGUUCAUGUACAUCCCUUGUCACUG